UGGGCAAAGUGAUCCAGCGGGGCCGGCAGAGCAAAGGCCUGACGCAGAAGGACCUGGCCACGAAAAUCAAUGAAAAGCCGCAAGUCAUCGCAGACUAUGAAAGUGGACGGGCCAUUCCGAAUAACCAGGUUUUGGGCAAAAUUGAGAGAGCCAUCGGUGAGUGUCUUCCCCAGCAGCUUUGGGCAAGGCAGUGCCCUUCCUUCCAUAAGGGGUGGUAAGGGCUGAGCUGGCAGGCCCUCGUCCCCUCGAGGCGGCCCUCAUCCCCUCCAGGCCAUACCACCUGAGUCCCUCCUGAGGGGUUGAGGAUUGGCGGGACUCCAGAAGCCUAAGGACAUGGUGUCUUGGGUUCUGUAGCUAGUGUCCUGCCACAGCACACUGCUCAGGAUACCUGGGGGCACAUGCUUGCUUCUACAUGCACCUCCAUGGAGGUCUAAUGCAGUAUUCCAGUCCUUCUGGGGCAAGAUGUUUGUCUUCUCGUCUUUCUAGAUUUACUAUUGUUAUUAUAUUUAUUAACUUUUUUCUGGCUGUCUUGGAACUAUGUAGACAGGCUGAUCUUGAGCUCACGGAGAUCUGCCUGCCUCUGUGUCCUAUGUGCUGGGAUUAAAGGCGUGUGCCACCACGUCUGGCUUAGAUUUUAUUUUCUAUAUAGACUCACUGUAGCUCAGGCUGGCUUCAGACUCACAUCAGUCUUCCUACCU
rnacentral:lncRNA from 1 species